GCUGGGUAAGGUGGCACACACCUGUAGUUCCAGCCAUUCUGGAGGCUGAGAGAGAGGACCAUCUGAACCCAGGCAUUCCGGGCUGUAGUACACUAUGCCGAUGGGAUGUCUGCACUAAGUUCAGCAUCAAUAUGGUGACCUCCCGGGACUGCCAGUUUGCCUAAGGAGGAGUGAACUGGCCCAGGUCAGACUGGCCCAGGUCAGAAAUAGUGAGUCAAAACUCCCAUGCUGAUCAGCAGUGGGAUCUAGUUAGUGAAUAGCCACUGCACUUUGGCCUGGGCAACAUAGCAAGAUCCCAUGCUCCCA
rnacentral:SRP_RNA from 10 species